AACAGUAUUAUCUAAGCACAUACACUGAAAGAAUUGAUCCUCAUCUGCUCAGUGUGUGUUUCAGAUAGAGGAGCAGCCUGAAUAUGAAGAGCCGCCAUUACUGCCGCCCCGCUCCGCUGACCUGAUUGAAGAAGAGGAGGAGGAAGAGGAGGAGCCGGAGCAAGCUUACGAUGAAUGUGUUCCCGUUUCCGUCCCCGUACCUCAGGAAGAAGAUUAUGAGGAUAUUGGCUCAUAUGCUACUGCAGCUGCCGAUAAUGAUAAUGAUUAUGAAGAUCUAAGUGGGGCAGGAAACACAGCCACGGCCAUUUAUGACUACCAAGGAGAGGCCAGUGACGAGAUCUCCUUCAUGCCAGGUGACACCAUCACUAGCGUUGAGAUGGUGGAUGAGGGUUGGUGGAAAGGAACGUGUCAUGGUCGCACAGGCCUGUUUCCUGCCACUUUUGUGGAGCUCAAUUAGUUGCUAAUAAGCAAUGAUCAAAUUUGUGUUUAUUAGCCACUUGCAGACUAUUAUGUUUAUUGCAUUUUUUAUGACAUACAUGUGCAAUAUACUAACAUGUACAGAAUGAACAUUUGAGUCUGGCUGAAAAUUAGUUCUUUUUGGUUGUUUUAAUGAGCCUGGAUUUGUUAGCUGAGCAAAACUGUCCAUUCAAUGCACAUGGUUAGUAACCAGUUAACAUUGAUUUUUUUUUUUCAUAAAGAUAUUAGAUUAAAAUGUGUAUGAUCAUAUACGCUACCGUUCAAAAUGUUGGGGUCUGUAAGAUUAUUUUGCAAUAAGUCUCUUUAACACACCAAGGCUGCAUUUAUUUGAUA